AAGCAAGGCAUCAAAACCAGGACCCACACGCCCCCAGCAGGGAGGCGCAGGCGCGCGCGCGCGUGCGCACGCGUGAAUGCCCGCCAUAUCUAUCGCAGAUGCGGCACGACAUCCCGCCCUAUUUGUCUCACCAGACCACUACGCACUGGCCCCUUCUCAUGCAUCAGAUCAUAAUACAAGGGUGCCUUGCGAGCCAACCCGACACUCCCCACAGCCCGCAGGCACGCAAGGGCGCCGGCGGGGCCCCGCGCGCCUGCGCUCAGCGCGCACGCGACUACGCGCCCCGGCCAUACGCCGCUCGCCAACCUAGCACUUGGCCGCAAGUAGCUGAGACACAAGCAACUAAGAACCAGCUAGCACAAACCUGCCGAAACAAAUCAGCAAAUUUACGCCACCCACUUCUUGGCGGUGACCUCAGCCAGGUCGACCACGCGCUGGGAGUAGCCCCACUCGUUGUCGUACCAGGCCACGACCUUGACCAUGUCGUCGCCCAUGACCAUGGUCAGGGAGGCGUCGAUGGAGGUCGACUGGUCGGUGCACUUGAAGUCAAUGGACACCAGGGGGGCGUCCUCGACGUGCAGCACGCCCUUCAUGGGGCCGUUGGCGGCCUCGCGGAAGGCGGCGUUCACCUCCUCGGCGAAGGUCUUCUUCUCAACCUGUGGUUGAGCGGGAGCGCAGGACAGGACAGGAGGGUGGGUCAGUGACAGCCUCAAGACAAGUUACUGAGGCGUGCAGCAUGCCACCGGCAACACGAAAUAUACAAGAAUUCGGUAAGCGGCGCCCACUGUCCAGGUGUAGUUGUUACAGCGCAAGGGGAGGCAGUCUCACCUGGACGACCAGGUCGACGACCGACACGGUGGGGGUGGGCACGCGCAGGGCAAUGCCGUUCAGCUUGCCCUUCAGGCUGGGCAGCACCAGCGACACGGCCUUGGCGGCACCGGUGGUGGUGGGCACAAUGUUCAGGGCGGCGGCGCGGGCGCGGCGCAGGUCGCGGUGGGACGCGUCCAGCAGGCGCUGGUCACCGGUGUAGGAGUGGGUGGUGGUCAUCGUGCCCUUGACAAUGCCGAACUUCUGCUCCAGCACCUGGGGUAGGCAAGGGAGAGGGGAAAGGGGAAGGGCCGGGUCAGAGACAGGUGAGCUGACAAGACAAGAUAUCCCAGGGCACUCGGACCCGCAACACCGUGGACGCUCUUGCCGCCCCCCGCAUUUAUUCCUGACGAAAAAGCCACAGCAAGCAACAUGCGUAAGCUUCCUUACCUUGACGAAGGGGGCCAGGCAGUUGGUGGUGCACGAGGCGUUGGAGAUGAUGGGGUACUCGUGCUUGUAGUCGCCCUCGUUCACACCGACCACGAAGGUGGGGAUGUCCUUGUCCUUGGCGGGGGCGGUGAUCAGCACCUUGGAGGCACCGGCCUAUAGAUGUGUGGGGCAAGGCAGGGGGGUCAUGUCAGCAGGGGGAACGAGCUCAAUGGGCGAGCGAGCGCCGUUACUCGUAACGCCAACACCCCCCCACUUGCUAGCGAGCAGUGCCGACCCAAAACGUGCACACCCAAAACCCCCGUCGCUUCCCGGCCCAGAGAUGCGCUUUAAUUGCGGCAUGCUCACCUGGAUGUGCUUGCCAGCGCCAACCUUGUCAAUGAAGACACCAGUGCCCUCAAUGACCAGGUCGAUGUUCAUCUCCUUCCAGGGCAGCUGCAGGGGGUCGCGGCUGGACACAAUCUUGAUCUGCUUGCCGUCCACCGAGAUGUGGCUGUCGUCGACGAUCUUAACAUCGGCGGCGAACGUGCCCAGGGUGGAGUCGUACUUCAGCAGGUGGCUGGCCUGCUUGACACCGCCGCUGUCGUUGAUGGCAACCACGUCCAGCAGGGUGUUCUGGCGACCGUGCCAGCAGCGCAGGAAGUUGCGGCCAAUGCGACCGAAGCCGUUGAUGGCCACGCGGAUCUUCUUCUCCGCGCGCACGUCGACGACGGCGCGGGCAGCC
rnacentral:lncRNA from 1 species